rnacentral:rRNA from 1 species
ACCGGCGCACGGGUGCGUAACGCGUAUGCAAUCUACCUUGUACAGAGGGAUAGCCCAGAGAAAUUUGGAUUAAUACCUCAUAGUAUAAUUGAGUGGCAUCAUUUAAUUAUUAAAGAUUUAUCGGUACAAGAUGAGCAUGCGUCCCAUUAGCUAGUUGGUAUGGUAACGGCAUACCAAGGCAACGAUGGGUAGGGGUCCUGAGAGGGAGAUCCCCCACACUGGUACUGAGACACGGACCAGACUCCUACGGGAGGCAGCAGUGAGGAAUAUUGGGCAAUGGAGGCAACUCUGACCAGCCAUGCCGCGUGCAGGAAGACGGCCCUAUGGGUUGUAAACUGCUUUUGUACGAGAAGAAACGCCAGUUCGUGAACUGGUUUGACGGUAUCGUAAGAAUAAGCAUCGGCUAACUCCGUGCCAGCAGCCGCGGUAAUACGGAGGAUGCGAGCGUUAUCCGGAAUCAUUGGGUUUAAAGGGUCCGUAGGCGGGCUUAUAAGUCAGUGGUGAAAUCUCCCAGCUCAACUGGGAAACUGCCAUUGAUACUGUAGGUCUUGAAUUUUUGUGAAGUAACUAGAAUAUGUAGUGUAGCGGUGAAAUGCUUAGAUAUUACAUGGAAUACCAAUUGCGAAGGCAGGUUACUAACAAACGAUUGACGCUGAUGGACGAAAGCGUGGGGAGCGAACAGGAUUAGAUACCCUGGUAGUCCACGCCGUANACGAUGGAUACUAGCUGUUCGAUUUUCGGAUUGAGUGGCUAAGCGAAAGUGAUAAGUAUCCCACCUGGGGAGUAC